AUGAGAACUCUUGAAUUCAUGAUUGGGGAGGUGUGCUGCAUCCUGAGAUCUAGGGCUUUUGUGGUAGCUGCAGGGAUAUCACUUAACCUUUAGGUAGCUGGAUGGAUGCUCUUCUCUUGGGAUAAAGUGAUGACAUCUUUAAGUUUCUGAAGAGAUCUGAGUCUAGUUUUGGGCUGGGGGUUGAACCCAUGAAGUAUAUUUCAAGCAUGAUGGGGAAGGGAAUAAAGGUGCCUAAUAAAAGUCA
rnacentral:lncRNA from 1 species